AACGAACGCUGGCGGCAGGCUUAACACAUGCAAGUCGAACGCACCUUUCGGGGUGAGUGGCAGACGGGUGAGUAACGCGUGGGAAUCUACCCAUCUCUACGGGAUAGCUCCGGGAAACUGGAAUUAAUACCGUAUACGUCCUGAGGGAGAAAGAUUUAUCGGGGAAGGAUGAGCCCGCGUUGGAUUAGCUAGUUGGUGGGGUAAAGGCCUACCAAGGCGACGAUCCAUAGCUGGUCUAAGAGGAUGAUCAGCCACAUUGGGACUGAGACACGGCCCAAACUCCUACGGGAGGCAGCAGUGGGGAAUAUUGGACAAUGGGCGCAAGCCUGAUCCAGCCAUGCCGCGGGAGUGAUGAAGGCCCUAGGGUUGUAAAGCUCUUUCAGUGGGGACGAUAAUGACGGUACCCACAGAAGAAGCCCCGGCUAACUUCGU
rnacentral:rRNA from 1 species